rnacentral:tmRNA from 1 species
GGGGGCGACUGGUUUUGACGGCGUGAUGCGGCUGCAGGUAUAAGCAUGUAUGGAGUUGGUGGAAGGUCUCCAUUCAAAAAAUCUACCGAACAACAACUGGCAAUACUCAGUAUGCCAUGGCUGCUUAAUUUCGGAGUAAAUUAGCAUUCGCCACGUUCCUCCAAAGCUAACCUCUGUUGCGUUGGGUUUAGGGGCGUCGUAAAUAGAGAGGCGUUCAGAGACGGACUUCUGAUCUCAGAAUAGUACACGAGAAGAUAAGGGAUUGUUUAGGUAUGCCAAACGGCUUGCAAUCUUCGAAAACUAUGAUUGGCUAAACAUGUAGAAGGCCUGACGGUGGCCAUGUUCGGACCAGGGUUCGAAUCCCUGCGUCUCCACUG